rnacentral:rRNA from 1 species
GACGAACGCUGGCGGCGUGCUUAACACAUGCAAGUCGAGCGGAAAGGCCCUGCUUUUGUGGGGUGCUCGAGUGGCGAACGGGUGAGUAACCCGUGAGUAACCUGCCCUUGACUUUGGGAUAACUUCAGGAAACUGGGGCUAUUACCGGAUAGGAGCUCCUGCUGCAUGGUGGGGGUUGGAAAGUUUCGGUGGUUGGUGAUGGACUAGCGUCUCAUCGGCUUGUUGGUGGGGUAGUGGCUUACCAAGGCCUUGACGGGUAGCCGGCCUGAGAGGGUGACCGGCCACACUGCGACUGAGAUACGGCCCAGCCUCCUACGGGAGGGAGCAGUGGGGAAGAGAGCACAAUGGGAGGAGGCAUAGUGCAGCAACGCCGCGUGGGGGAUGACGGCAUUCGGGUUGUAAACUGCUUCCGCCUGUGACGGAGCGUGAGUGACGGUAAUGGGUAAAGAAGCACCGGCUAACUACGUG